GACAAUGUGAGUACAGCGGUUCCUUGAUAUAGAGGAUGGAGACAGACUUGAAUGGCUGUUAAUAUCUGUUGGCUUCAGCCACGUAGGUUCGAACCCUACUGUUGUCG
rnacentral:tRNA from 1 species